rnacentral:rRNA from 1 species
UCGAGGAUCUUCGGCAAUGGGCGCAAGCCUGACCGAGCGACGCCGCGUGUGCGAUGAAGGCCUUCGGGUUGUAAAGCACUGUCGAGGGGGAGGAAGCCGCAAGGUUGACCUAUCCCUGGAGGAAGCACGGGCUAAGUUCGUGCCAGCAGCCGCGGUAAGACGAACCGUGCGAACGUUGUUCGGAAUCACUGGGCUUAAAGGGCGCGUAGGCGGGCGACCAAGUCAGGGGUGAAAUCCUCCGGCUCAACCGGAGAACAGCCUUUGAUACUGGUCACCUCGAGGGAGGUAGGGGCAUGUGGAACUUCCGGUGGAGCGGUGAAAUGCGUAGAUAUCGGAAGGAACGCCGGUGGCGAAAGCGACGUGCUGGACCUCUUCUGACGCUGAGGCGCGAAAGCUAGGGGAGCAAACGGGAUUAGAUACCCCUGUAGUCC